AUGACUGUGCAGUGCUUUAAAUAAUUCAUUGUCCUUCAUUUUCUUUUCAGGUAUAACACAUAUUUUCAAUUAUGGGUAAGGUUGUUUCAAGUAAGCAAAUAGCAUAAGCAGAAUCUAAUUUUCAAGUCAUGAAUCAUGCUGUCCUCGGAUAACCCAGUUGUCACUUAGAAGCUCUGUAUUCUUUGGAAAGGUGACAGUUCCUCCUUGUUCACUCUCUUGAUGCCACCAUGUAAGAUGUGCUUCCUCUUCUCCAAUGAUUGCAAGUUUCCUGAGGCCUCCCCAGCCAUGCAGAACUAUGUCUCAUUUUCCACUGCAACUGCUUGCAGCUGUAUCCCUCCACAAAUGGAAACAGAAUGCUCGCAACAACCACCACCAAACGUAUAAGUUCUUAUGCCAGAGUCCUAGAGUACUGCAGAAAUGUGUUUGGAAAACCCUCCCUUUGAGGAAUAAUAAAUAGUAGCUGACAGUCA
rnacentral:lncRNA from 13 species